UUGUGUCCUGGAGCGAGCAGAGCUGCAUUUAAAAGUAUGCUAGCUUCCAGCUUGAGAUUCUCAGAGGAGCAGCAAAGCAAAGAACAGAACAUUGCCCUGAAUGUUUGGAGAGCUCAGAUGGGGGCUUAGCCAUCAAAUGUAACUGUCACCAGCACAGCCCCUUGCCUCAGUCUAGAUUCAACCACAGUGCUAUCUUCUUUUUGAAACUUCAACGGACUUUCUUCUAACAAAGUCCCCACAAUGUAAACUCUAUGAGAACAGAGGCCUUGCAUUUCCAGUCUGGGACGAG